GGGGUUGUGGCUCAAUGGUAGAGCACUCGCCUACAAUGUGUGAGGCCCCAGGUUCAAUCUUCUGCCCCA
rnacentral:tRNA from 1 species